UAACGCGAAGAACCUUACCAAGGCUUGACAUAUACCGGAAAGCAUCAGAGAUGGUGCCCCCCUUGUGGUCGGUAUACAGGUGGUGCAUGGCUGUCGUCAGCUCGUGUCGUGAGAUGUUGGGUUAAGUCCCGCAACGAGCGCAACCCUUGUUCUGUGUUGCCAGCAUGCCCUUCGGGGUGAUGGGGACUCACAGGAGACUGCCGGGGUCAACUCGGAGGAAGGUGGGGACGACGUCAAGUCAUCAUGCCCCUUAUGUCUUGGGCUGCACACGUGCUACAAUGGCCGGUACAAAGAGCUGCGAAGCCGCGAGGCGGAGCGAAUCUCAAAAAGCCGGUCUCAGUUCGGAUUGGGGUCUGCAACUCGACCCCAUGAAGUCGGAGUUGCUAGUAAUCGCAGAUCAGCAUGCUGCGGA
rnacentral:rRNA from 1 species